UACGGAAGGCAGCAGUGGGGAAUAUUGCACAAUGGGCGCAAGCCUGAUGCAGCCAUGCCGCGUGUAUGAAAAAGGCCUUCGGGUUGUAAAGUACUUUCAGUCGUGAGGAAGGUGUUAAGGUUAAUAACCUUAGCAAUUGACGUUAGCGACAGAAGAAGCACCGGCUAACUCCGUGCCAGCAGCCGCGGUAAUACGGAGGGUGCGAGCGUUAAUCGGAACUACUGGGCGUAAAGGGCACGCAGGCGGUUAAUUAAGUUGGAUGUGAAAUCCCCGGGCUUAACCUGGGAAUGGCAUUCAAGACUAGUUAGCUAGAGUCUUGUAGAGGGGGUAGAAUUCCAUGUGUAGCGGUGAAAUGCGUAGAGAUGUGGAGGAAUACCGGUGGCGAAGGCGGCCCCUGGACAAAGACUGACGCUCAUGUGCGAAAGCGUGGGGAGCAAACAGGGAUUAGAUACC
rnacentral:rRNA from 1 species